AUGUACCACUCGUACACUCCGGUUCCUGUGCGCCGUCCACACCCACCUGGCGACUGCUCGCUACGUUUUAUUAGCC
rnacentral:sRNA from 3 species